UUGCUGCUUAAAAGACAAUACUAGGAUGAUAAGAUGUUGGGAAGAAAAAAAAAACCAGUUAUUCACAUAUACAGAACAUGACAAGAUGUAAGGAGCUGCCUACCUUAAAAACAAAAGAAGACCAUCAGGCAUAGGAAGGAAAGUUUAGUGGGAGGAGAUGUGGUGGGGAUGUAGGUGUUGAUGUGCAGGGCAGGUCAAUGAUGAAUAGGUGUAGUAUUUGUUGCACAUUGCUCCCUCCCUCCUGCUGGAAAAUCAUAGUUGCCUUCUGAUCUUGCAAGGCUAGUUUCUCUCAUUCUUUAGGCAACAACUUUCCAGGAGGCAAAACUCAACACUGCUUAUGAUAUGUGUUAGGCGAUGUACAAAUGUGGAGUGCUGGGCUAAGGAGCUGAAGCUGAAGCACCUGAGCCAAGGACAAAAGGGCCGAAUUGUUCCUCGGACAUCCACUGGAUGAAAAUGAAUUGAGUAAUCUGUUUGGUGCUACAUACUGAUUCUUGUGUGUGUGCCUGCAUCGUACGUGUCCAGGUGUAUGCCAGUAAAUGUGUAUGAGCGUGUGGCAGCCAGAAGUCAAUAUUGGUUUGUCUUUCCUCAGGAGCCAUCCAUCUUGUUUUGCUGAGACAGAGCCUGGUGUAGAGUUUGCUAAGUAGGCUGGCUUGUUGGCCAGCAAGCCUCAGGGAUCUGUCUAUUUCCACUGCUAAGCCUGGAUAUGUGUAUAUGUAUGUAUAUGUAUAUGUAUAUGUAUAUGUAUAUGUAUAUGUAUAUGUAUAUACAGAUAUAGAUAUGUGUGUUUGUGUUUGUGUGUGUGUGUAUUCUGGGUAUCAAACUCAGGUCCUUAUGUUUGUCAGGUAACCAUCUUGCCAAAUGAAC
rnacentral:lncRNA from 1 species